CCUAUUUUGGAUCUUCACUAUGAGAACCUGGUGGGAUUCCUGGAGGUCAAGGCCAUGAGAGGUUCUACAAAAAGUGCACUCUAAUGUCGCAGGUCCUGGAGGAGGGAGUUCUCAUAGCAGUCCACCUGAUGGUUGAGAAUCGAAAGAGUGCCACCCAAAUGGAGAAGAAAUAAUAUGAAUUAUUGUUAUGGAAGAAGAAAUUAUUUUCUUGGGAAAAGAUUCUACUUUAUUCUGGAAUGUGCCCUUUUCAGAGUUAAAGAGCCCUUUUUCCCCUCAAAGCAUGAGACGGACAAGGACAAACUGGGUCUCCUUACAAGCUUAAAAACUGCCCUGCUCUAGGCAGAAACAAGAAACAUCAGGUAGCCUGAUUGAAUUUACUUCUUCCAUGUAC